rnacentral:rRNA from 1 species
CUACGGGAGGCUGCAGUGAGGAAUAUUGCACAAUGGAGGAAACUCUGAUGCAGCAACGCCGCGUGGAGGAUGACGCAUUUCGGUGUGUAAACUCCUUUUAUAUGUCAAGAAAAUGACGGUAGCAUAUGAAUAAGCACCGGCUAACUCCGUGCCAGCAGCCGCGGUAAUACGGAGGGUGCAAGCGUUACUCGGAAUCACUGGGCGUAAAGGACGCGUAGGCGGGAUAUCAAGUCAGGUGUGAAAUCCUACAGCUUAACUGUAGAACUGCACUUGAAACUGGUAACCUAGAGUAUGGGAGGGGGAGAUGGAAUUAGUGGUGUAGGGGUAAAAUCCGUAGAUAUCACUAGGAAUACCUAAAGCGAAGGCGAUCUCCUGGAACAUAACUGACGCUAAGGCGUGAAAGCGUGGGGAGCAAACAGGAUUAGAUACCCUAGUAGUC